rnacentral:rRNA from 1 species
UAGGGAAUCUUCCGCAAUGGACGAAAGUCUGACGGAGCAACGCCGCGUGAGUGAUGAAGGUUUUCGGAUCGUAAAGCUCUGUUGCCAGGGAAGAACGUCCGGUAGAGUAACUGCUACCGGAGUGACGGUACCUGAGAAGAAAGCCCCGGCUAACUACGUGCCAGCAGCCGCGGUAAUACGUAGGGGGCAAGCGUUGUCCGGAAUUAUUGGGCGUAAAGCGCGCGCAGGCGGUCACUUAAGUCUGGUGUUUAAGGCCAAGGCUCAACCUUGGUUCGCACUGGAAACUGGGUGACUUGAGUGCAGAAGAGGAGAGUGGAAUUCCACGUGUAGCGGUGAAAUGCGUAGAUAUGUGGAGGAACACCAGUGGCGAAGGCGACUCUCUGGGCUGUACUGACGCUGAGGCGCGAAAGCGUGGGAGCAAACAGGAUUAGAUACCCUGGUAGUCCACGCCGUAAACGAUGAAUGCUAGGUGUUA